rnacentral:tRNA from 1 species
GCUCCCAUAGCUCAGCUGGAUAGAGCGCACCCCUCCUAAGGGUGAGGCCGUAGGUUCGAAUCCUACUGGGAGCGCCA